GUCCAGCUGACAAACCCCGAAUAGAACGAAACGCGCGUCCUGGAU
rfam:Schistosoma mansoni, Puerto Rico, WGS project CABG01000000 data, contig: 0044